AAGACAAGCAUGCCUUCAACAACAACACACCUAAAUCACAAGCUUCCCCUGCUCUCAGCCCUCCGUCUGUUUCCCUGCCUUGUGGAUCUACGUAGCUGUCCACGGUCAUUAUGCAGUAGAUAUACAGUAUAUCCAUGCACAGAGAGGUCUAAGUGCCACCUGGCAGCAACCGUCUGCUUGAUAUGUCUGCUUUACCAGGGGCAGACUAUAGGAGGGCAUCGCAGAGAAUUUAUCAGACAAUGAAGAGAAGGCCUUGAACAUUAUUUCCCUCCCUCGCCUCUGGAAAGGCAGGACUGCCCGACUCCAACUCAGCCUUGGUGAUAACAGACCACCAGAUAAACACCAAAAGCUUUUAACUUAAUUCUGUUUGUGUGUGAGAUCAAUUAGCUUUUCAACAGAGUCAUUCCUCUGAUUAUUUGGCCCUGUUUUUAAUUAUACAGUGAUGCUGCAGGCUGUGCAAAAUCACAGAAAACUCACCCUGGAUGAAGAGGACUUAAGGCUUACUGUGCUUGAUGUAGUUGUGGUAGGAGGUGUCACGCAUUGGUGAGUCUCUGCUCAUAAUAUUUCAGUGCAGUUGCUGAAUCAGGCUGUAUUUCAUGUUGCUAAAAUGAUUUUUUUUUUGGAAAGCCAACACUUCCAUGUGCUCACAAGACUCUUAUGCUAGCACAAGGUAGUGCUAGCAUAAGAUCUUGAUCAUACAACACUUUUUAUGAACAUGUAUUAAUAGCCAUACAGUUCAGCCUACUCCCUGGCAAGUCUCUCAAUGGGCUACAGAGCACAACAUGUUCCACUUUUAGGAAUGUAAUACAUCAUGCAAAUCAAUCACUAUGUGUCCAACACACUCCACACAGUAAGAGCAGACACAGACCUUUUAUGGCCUCAUAUGCAUAUCAUCUUUCUGCUCUAGGCUAAACUGCCUCUGUUGAAGCAAGAGCAAUGUGAAAGCCCCUUUUCUUCUUCUUCUCUUUUUUUAAUAGUCAUGCCCCUUUGGUAUUCAACUUAACAAAGAGAUAAGCUUUUGCAUAUGUGCAGAAUUAAUCUAUUUCGUUGCUUAUUUUACUGGGAAUAAUAACUUUCAUGGAGAUCUGUGAUAAGUGUAUACAAAUCAUGGCAGUGGCUCAGUAACUGAAAGUUUACUUAUUGUUGUAAUGGCUUUGGCUCAAACAAGAAAAGAGAGGAAACUUUUGAAAGAAAGGAUGAAUAAAUAAGGCCAUUUACUAGUGUUUCACUACCAGUUCUCCAUAUAUCUAUCUUACACGUGACCCUCUGAUGCACUCGAUUCAGUGCUUAUGGCUCUGAGCUUGUGAUCCAAAGCUUGUGACUCUGAGAGCCUCUGAUGGGCCCUUGAGCAAGAUUCUUCUCCACCAACUGCUCACCUGUAUGCUUGGAUUCUCUCCAGGUCUGUUCAAAUGGAACUGUAACUCAAGAAGCUACAAUCAUCAAUUUAAAGGGCAAUUAUAUGAUCAUGUGAAUGACGCAUUGGCCACCUGAAGCUUCCUGGCUCACAACCAUGACAUUCUCUACUCUUGACUGUAAGGUGUUUCUUAAUUAACAGAGGCCCACUUCAUAAGACACCCUAUGCCAUUAAUGCCACAUCACAGUCCUGAUGUCUGAUUACCAGCAUGUGGACAAAAUUACCAUACUUUCCAGCUCCUCCUCUCUGGAACAGCCUCGUGGUCCACAUUAGAUCUUGUGAUGAAAUUGAAUCUUUUAAAUCACUGAGGAAGACUCAACUUUACACUGCUGCAUAUAACUGUCCUUAAAUGUAUUGUAUUUGGUGUUCCAGUGUUAUAUUGUAUAUGGUUAAAUGUA
ensembl:lncRNA